UUGCCCUCUUGGCUGUUGGCCAUCAAAUUAUUUUGAUAAUCUGGUGACUAUGACCUUUGUAAACAGCUUACAAUGGUGGGACAAGAGGUAUAUGAAUGCAGUGUUGAAAUCUCUGGAAAUGAAAGGCAUCAAGGAGCAAGAUAUCACACUGCUCAGAGUUGUUCAUCCACAACUCUGGAUGAACAACAGAUAUAACUCUGCUAUCACCACUAGUAAGGCUUCCAAUUAGGAAGGAUGUCAAGCAAAGAGAUUGACUGAAAGGGAGGUGUGAACAUCAAUGGCAAACAACUAACACAAUUCCGAUUUGCAGAUGACAUUGUACAACUCAUUGCUGAAACCACAGACCAGUUGCAGACCAUGCUGACAAAACUGGACACUCAUAGCUUAGAAGUAGGCCUUAGAACUGUGUGGAAACAUAAUAUAUGCAGUCAGAAGAUUUAGCACAAGACUGAGUAGAGGUGGAAAGCGAUGAAAUCGAAGAGGUAAAGGAAUACGAGAUGGUAUCAAAAAGUACCAGGACUAGUUAUGUUCAAUAAAAAAUAACAUAUUUACCUAAAUUUUAACAUCAUCUCCUUCAAAAUAGUCACUUUGCAAAGUAAUACACUAGUUCAAGCAUUCCUGCCACUUUUGGAAUCCAGCCCGGAAGUCAUUUUCCAUAAGCGAGUCGAGCACAUUCUGCAAUUUGUUCUGGAUCUCGACAAAGGUUUUAAAACAGUGACCUUUGAAUUGCAUUUUCAUCUUGGGGAAGAGAUAGAAGUCUGCAGGUCUUAAAUCUUGUGAAUAGGGUGGGUGCAGAAGCAAUACCAUGUUUUUGGCAAGAAACUUUGAGUGAAGAGAGCUUAGUGACAGGGUGCAUUGUCCUUGAAAAGAAUCCAAUUCUUUAUGCUCCACAAAUCCAGUCAUUUUCACUGAAUGUCCUCGCUCAAAUGCUUCAAAAUAUUACAGUAAAACUGCCAAUUGAUGGUCUGGUCCUGGGGGACAAUUUAUCAAAGCACAGUAUCGUGGAUGUUGAAAAAAACAAUGCGCAUGCUCUUGAUUGAGCUGCGGCUGUCAUACCUUCUUCGGUCAUGGAGAUGAAGGGUUCUUCCAUUGUGACGACUGCUGCUUUGUCUCAGGGUCAUACCCAUGGACUCAACUCUUGUCACCAGUGAUGAUUCUUGACAUUAGGGAUGGGUCAUCAGUGGCAUGCUGAAGGAGAUUUUGAGAGACUUCCAUGCAAUGUUCAUUCAGUUCAAUGGUUAGCAGGCAGGGACAAACUUGGCAGAGACAUGCCGUAUGUUCAAUUCAGACAUUAGGAUUGCCUGCAUGGAUCCAUACAAUAGACCAACAACAUCAGCAAUGUCGUCGAUUGUCCUCCAACAAUCUUCAUGCAGAAGCUGAUGAAUUUUCUCCACAUUUCCAAGGGUGACAUUUGUGGCAGAUCUUCCAGAUCGCUCAUCAUCUCCCAGGAACAUUCUUCCACUUUUAAAGUGCCUGUGCCACUUGAAGCAUUGCAUACGAUCCACUGCCUCAUUGCAAUAAGCUUGCCAAAGCAUGCUCAAUGUUUCUGUAGCAGACUUCCCAAGUUUAAUGCAAAAUAUCACAUUGGAUCUUUGUUCCAACUUCCUGUCCAUGACAAAAUCACCGACUACAGCAUACAUGUGAUCACAAAGACACAAAUUUCACAACUUGUAAAGUAAACACAGUGAUGUCACUUGGCACAAUGCCUCGUGAAGGUCACUACUAGCUCUCAUUGCACAUGGAACUAUGUGCUGUCAUCUGUUGGUGCGUUACUGAACAGGUCCUGGAAUUUUUUGAUAUCACCUCAUAUGUCUAAUUAGGGCACACAGUGAAUAUGUGCUGAGAUAUGGAUGUUGAAAUCUUGAAGAUAACAAGGGUAAGAUGGAAGGCUUUUACUUCAAUAGAGGAUGUGCUUAAAACAAAGGCAGACAAUACCAUGCAUGCCAGACUUUUCAAUAGCAUCAUCCUACAUGUGUUCUUAUAUGCAAGUGAGAUAAAGCAGAUAAAACACUGAUUGGCUAUAAUGUAAAGGGUGAUGGAAAGAUCCAUGCAAGGAAUAUCAUUAUAAAAGCAUAUUCAAAAUGAGAUCAUUUGACAAAGGAAUGAACAAUGUGAUCACAGAGUCAUGAAAGCACAAUUUCUGCUGGGCCAGACAUGUAGCAAGACUCACUGCAACAUGUAGACUCAUGCAGUUGCCAAGUGGUAUACAAGAGACUGGAAGAGGCCACUUGGAGAGCAUUCACAACAGUAGGAAGAUGAUUUACUUAAGCAAGCUGGGUCAAAGUGGAAAAGAAUGGCACAAUCAAGACAGAAUUGGAAGUGCAUUGUGACCAGUGAUGUACAACAGUAUCUGAUGGUCUGGUUGAUACUGUGAUUUAUAUAUAUAUGAAUACUGUUGUAAUACUGGGUUUUAUCUUCUACCCAAAAUAAUAGACCCUUUUACAUUGCUUGUUCCUAUAUCUUAUACAUAAGUGGCAAUUUCUGUCUGUCUGUUACUAUCUUGAUACCAACAAGUCAAUCUUCACAAAACUUUGCAUACAUGUUAAACUAACAUCCAGUUCAAUUAUAGGCUAAUUGGAUUUCAAUAAAAAUUGAUAAUGGGCCUCCUACAAGGGUUGAGCUAUUAUAUGAUAAAAUGAGAAGGGUACAAAAUGUGUUAGGUUGAGGGAAAUGUGGUGGCAUAAUGAGGGUGGAUGAUAUCAGGGAACGGGAGGAGACGAGAAGAGACACACAGAGAGAAUGAGAGACAGGGACAGAGCAGGAUAGAGAGAAUGUGUUUACUGAAGGGAACAGUGAAUUUUAAUACUUUCUUCUUUAAUUUUUACCUAACGCUUUAGGUAUGCUCAGUCAAAACUUUUACAAUAUGUCCAACAGCAGAUGUUAAACUAACAAGUGAAAGGUAACACUGAUUAAACUUGAAACCCCAGUAACAUUUUACUGCAAUUUUUCUGGAACAAAUAAAUAACAAAAUCAGAUUUAACAUGAAAAAUUAUUUCAAUAUACCAAUUUUGAAAAUUUUGACGUAAUUUUAAAAUUUCACAAUAUGACAGCAACACAGAAGACCCUACAAAAGUAGAGAGAGACAGACAGUUACAAGCAACAAUAUGCAGAUUUUCUUACAAGAAGUUUUCUUUAAAAGUCACUCUGAAGACAUGUACUGUUUUUCAGUAUUUUUCUCCCAUAAACAUAUUUAAUGGAAUGAUGAUGAACACAAGGUUUGUCCAUUGUUUGGAUUUAAGCAAAUUCUUCAAGUGAGAUACCUUGACAAAAUUGAACACAGAGCAUGAAACUAAAUUUAUUCAACUAUAAUCUUAAAAAGACAAGAUGAUAACAACUACAAUAUCUUUGAUGUUUCCUCAAUCAGGAACUAAAUGUGAAAUUUGAGGAACUGACCAGCACAAGAUUCUAUAUGUGACUGUUUAAUCAUGCCAUGUACAAAAGAAGCCUUGGAACUGUAUGAAUUUCAAAGAGGCCGUAUUGUGGGUCAUUCUGAAGGUGGAUAUAGUCAGUGUAAAAUCGCAGAAAACCUUGGGAUCCCGCUUUCUAUAGUUAAUAGAGUGAUUGUGCAAUUCACCAGAGAAAGGAAGGAAUCCACAUCACCUUGUCCAGAUCAACCAGGGCCCUCUGACAGGACCCUUCUCUUUGCUAAGAGAAGUGUGGAGGAUAAUCUUCGUUGCAAGACCUCUGACACAGCAGAGCAAGUUGAUGUCAGUCCUAGAACAGCUGUCAGGUAUCUCCACAAACUUGGUUACUAUGGUAGAGCAGGAAGAAGGAAGCCACAUCUUUGACUAGCCAAUAUAAAGCAGAGAAAAGAUUGAGCCAAUGAGAUGAUUAGCAUUUUGGGACACUGUCAUAUUCUCUGAUGAAUCCAGAUUUGCUGUAUUUCCAGUGGUCGAGUGUGGGUCUGGAGACUCUGUGAUCAAGAAUUUGAUGUGAAAAGAUUGCAGCCAGCAAUGAAACACAACAGCUAUUCUGUGAUUGUCUGAGGAACAAUUUGCAGCAAUGGUUCAACAGAGCUGGUGGAGUGUGAGGGAAAGAUAAACUCAAAUAAAUGUGUGUCCAUAUUGCAGAAAGGACUCCUUCCAAACAUCUCCAAUGGUGAAAUGAUUAAAGAAGACUCUCUAUUUAUGGAAGAUGGGAUUCCUUGUCACACGGUUAAAAUAACACAAGGUUUGUUAAAAAAGAAUGGCAUUAGACAGCUUCCAUAGCAAAGCCGGUCACCAGAUAUGAACCCUAUAGAACACCUCUGGGGAAUAAUGGACAGGACAUUUCAUAAACAGAACAAGAAAGCAUCUUCAAAGCCAGAUCUUUUGAGAUUAUUGCAUGAAACUUAGCAAGAAAUUCCACAAGAAAAUAUUCGCCGUCUGAUCAGUAACAUGCCUAAUAGGGCCCUUGCAUUGAAAAAUGCAAAGAGCAUGUCUACAAAAUAUUAAAUUUUCUCAUUAUAACAACUAACAAAUAAUUUGAAUAUAUAAUUUCAGAUUUAAAUAAAUUUUAAUGAUUAUAA